rnacentral:rRNA from 1 species
AUUGAACGCUGGCGGAAUGCUUUACACAUGCAAGUCGAGCGGCAGCGCGGGGCAACCUGGCGGCGAGCGGCGAACGGGUGAGUAAUACAUCGGAACGUGCCCAGACGUGGGGGAUAACUACUCGAAAGAGUGGCUAAUACCGCAUACGAUCUAAGGAUGAAAGCGGGGGAUCGCAAGACCUCGCGCGUUUGGAGCGGCCGAUGGCAGAUUAGGUAGUUGGUGGGGUAAAGGCUUACCAAGCCCGCGAUCUGUAGCUGGUCUGAGAGGAUGAUCAGCCACACUGGGACUGAGACACGGCCCAGACUCCUACGGGAGGCAGCAGUGGGGAAUUUUGGACAAUGGGCGAAAGCCUGAUCCAGCCAUUCCGCGUGCAGGAUGAAGGCCCUCGGGUUGUAAACUGCUUUUGUACAGAACGAAAAAGACUCUUUCUAAUACAGAGAGUCCAUGACGGUACUGUAAGAAUAAGACACCGGCUAACUAACGUGCCAGCAGCCGCGGUAU